UAAAUUUAGGUAUUCAUUCUUGUCCCUUUAUUUUUUGUUUUUUUUAUUGCAAGAAACUGCAAGUGGAAGAAUUGUUCAUACGCUGCUUAGGCUAAGAAAUCACAGUUUACUGCAAAUCCCUGACAUCAAGGUUUUUGAUUCUUCUUAAUCCAAGAAUUUCAGGGAAAAACUUGUAUUUUUUUAUAUACUUUCAAAUAUUUUGUCUUGAUUCAAGAACAAGGGUUUGGUUUCUGUGUGAGGUAGUAUAUAGAUAUUUGUGUAUCUUCCUCAGAACCUCUCUGAGCAAAAAAAACUAUCUUCGGCUCCAUCACCUCACCUUAUCUUCAUCACCCAUCUCUCUUUCUCUUGUGUUCACUUGAUAAAAAUCAAAUCUUUAUAUAGGGAAGUGUGUGGGGGAAUAAGGAAAAGUAGGGAGAAAGAGAGGGGUUGGAGAAAUGCAAGGUGUUUUACAGUCAAAAGGGCUUCUGUCCUUACCUUCAAACCCCAGAACCAGAGCUUUUCUUGCACAACCCUCAUGUGAUUUGAGGUAUAGAUUCAACCCUAUAAAUCCUCCGUUAAAAUCAAGAACACUCAAUGGGUCCUCUUUAACUCUUAAUGGGUUCUCAAAAUUCCACGGAUUUGUGACAAAACCUCAAUUAGUAGGCCAAAAGAAUGGAAACUAUCCCAUAUGUAGAGCUGAGGCUGCUGCUGCAUCAGGUGAUGGGCAGCCUUUGUAUGGAGAGAAAGAAUCACCCAAGUUUAUGGGCAUGGAGCUGGUGACUCUCAAGAAAAUCAUACCACUUGGAAUGAUGUUUUUCUGUAUUCUGUUUAACUACACAAUUCUCAGGGACACUAAGGAUGUUUUGGUGGUUACAGCCAAAGGGUCUAGUGCUGAAAUCAUACCUUUCUUAAAAACUUGGGUGAAUUUGCCGAUGGCUGUUGGGUUUAUGCUCUUGUACACACAACUGGCUAAUGUGUUGUCAAAAGAGGCUCUUUUCUACUCUGUUAUUCUUCCAUUUAUAGCCUUUUUUGGAGCAUUUGGGUUUGUUUUAUAUCCUCUCAGCCACUAUUUCCACCCCACAGCUCUUGCUGAUAAGCUUCUGAACAUUUUGGGUCCAAGAUUUCUUGGACCUCUUGCAAUCAUGAGAAUCUGGAGUUUCUGCUUGUUCUAUGUCAUGGCUGAACUCUGGGGAAGCGUGGUUAUCUCGGUUCUGUUUUGGGGGUUUGCUAAUCAGAUCACUACUGUCGAGGAAGCCAAGAAAUUCUAUCCCCUUUUUGGUCUUGGAGCAAACGUUGCCCUUGUUUUCUCUGGUCGAACUGUGAAAUACUUCUCUCAAUUGAGAGAAAACCUUGGUCCUGGAGUCGAUGGUUGGGCCAUAUCCCUGAAGGGAAUGAUGAGUAUCGUGGUGGGGAUGGGGCUUGCAAUUUGUUUCCUUUACUGGUGGGUGAAUCAUAAUGUUCCUCUUCCCACCCGUAGUCAGAAGAAGAAGGAGAAGCCAAAAAUGGGGACAAUGGAGAGCUUAAAAUUCUUGGUAUCAUCAAGAUAUAUUAGAGAUCUUGCCACUUUGGUUGUGGCAUAUGGUAUUAGUAUCAACCUCGUUGAGGUUACAUGGAAAUCGAAGCUCAAAGCUCAGUUUCCAACGCCAAACGAGUAUUCAUCCUUUAUGGGCGACUUCUCGACUGCUACUGGAAUAGCAACUUUCACAAUGAUGCUUUUGAGCCAAUGGAUCUUUAACAAAUAUGGUUGGGGAGUUGCAGCAAAGAUCACACCUACAGUCCUGCUUCUGACCGGAGUUGGCUUCUUCUCCCUGAUUUUGUUCGGCGACCCUCUUGCUCCAGCUCUUGCCAAGUUUGGACUGACUCCACUCUUAGCAGCUGUUUAUGUCGGAGCAAUGCAGAACAUUUUUAGUAAAAGUGCAAAGUAUAGCUUGUUCGAUCCAUGCAAGGAAAUGGCUUACAUUCCUUUGGACGAGGACACUAAGGUUAAAGGGAAAGCAGCAAUUGACGUUGUCUGUAAUCCAUUGGGCAAAUCAGGAGGUGCUCUUAUUCAGCAGUUCAUGAUUUUAACCUUUGGGUCCCUCGCAAAUUCGACUCCCUAUCUCGGAGGUAUUCUUCUCGUAAUUGUUCUUGCAUGGCUAGGAGCUGCCAAGUCUUUAGACGGUCAGUUCACUGCAUUGAGGCGAGAAGAAGAACUUGAAAAGGAGAUGGAAAGAGCAGCCGUGAAAAUUCCCAUUGUGUCAUCGAAUGAAAGUGGCAAUGGCUCUCUUGGUAGUGGCUCGACGCUAAAUCCAACGGGAGGCGACUCAUCAAAUGCUUCAUCCGAAUCCUCAUCUCCUAGGAACAUCUGAUCAUACUAUCCGCUAGAGGAAUAAGAAUAUAUAUUACAAAGAUUCAUAAGUGCAGGGUUUUUGCUUCAUGGAAAAUUCGCGAAUGCUGCUUCAGACAGUGGCCCAUGGUUGCUGCACAUGACCGAGCCAAGAAAACCUCGCUGGGGUGAAAAGAUCAGGGCUCGACAAUCAGGUGAUAUGGAGUACCAAAAUUUUCUCUUUAUGGUAUUUGUGUUGGACAGAGUGUACAUGAGAAGCAGUGAAGAUCACUUCAAGUUUGCUGUAAUUAUGCAAGAUUUUGCAAUCACUGUUGUGCAUUUGAGUACCGUUAUGUCUUCUAGUUCUGCAUGGUAAGAAUUGCUGUUGUGGUUGGGCUACAGUUGAGAAUUGUUGCUUGGAGUGUUGUUUAAUGUUGUUAUCAGUUACGGGCUAACUUACAACUUUUAAGACAACGAUAGAUAGAAGCUCACUGCUACAGCAAAUUCUUACUUGCAUGUAAAAGAGGAUAUAACAGCAAGACAUUUGAUCCUUAAGGUACCAAUUUAAGGUUAAAUUGUCCGAUUAA